rnacentral:rRNA from 1 species
GAUGAACGCUAGCGGCAGGCUUAACACAUGCAAGUCGAGGGGUAACAGGGUGCUUGCACCGCUGACGACCGGCGCACGGGUGCGUAACGCGUAUAGAACCUACCUUUUACAGGAGAAUACCCCAGAGAAAUUUGGAAUAAUGCUCCAUAGUAUUAUUGAAUGGCAUCAUUUGAUAAUUAAACAUUUAUGGGUAAAAGAUGGCUAUGCGUUCUAUUAGCUAGAUGGUAAGGUAACGGCUUACCAUGGCAACGAUAGAUAGGGGUCCUGAGAGGGAGAUCCCCCACACUGGUACUGAGACACGGACCAGACUCCUACGGGAGGCAGCAGUGAGGAAUAUUGGACAAUGGAGGCAACUCUGAUCCAGCCAUGCCGCGUGCAGGAAGACGGUCCUAUGGAUUGUAAACUGCUUUUAUACAGGAAGAAACACUCCCUCGUGAGGGAGCUUGACGGUACUGUAUGAAUAAGCACCGGCUAACUCCGUGCCAGCAGCCGCGGUAAUACGGAGGGUGCAAGCGUUAUCCGGAAUCAUUGGGUUUAAAGGGUCCGUAGGCGGGCUAAUAAGUCAGGGGUGAAAUCCAACAGCUUAACUGUUGAAUUGCCUUUGAUACUGUUAGUCUUGAGUUAUAUGGAAGUAGAUAGAAUGUGUAGUGUAGCGGUGAAAUGCUUAGAGAUUACACAGAAUACCGAUUGCGAAGGCAGUCUACUACGUAUAUACUGACGCU